CACCCCAUCUUCACUUUGCCAUAAGGGCUGCCCUGUGUCUUGUGUGGUCAUUCGUUUGGGGAAGAGCAGUCAACCUUAUGCACCCUGGUCAGACUGCUUUGUGUCUUUUCCAGAUUGUCAAUAAGGUCACACUU
rnacentral:snoRNA from 1 species